rnacentral:rRNA from 1 species
AGUGUGGGCGGCUAUUUAAGUCGGAUGUGAAAGCCCUGGGCUCAACCUGGGAAUUGCAUUCGAAACUGAAUAGCUAGAGUUUGGUAGAGGUAAGUGGAAUUCCGGGUGUAGCGGUGAAAUGCGUAGAUAUCCGGAGGAACAUCAGUGGCGAAGGCGGCUUACUGGACCAAAACUGACGCUGAGGCUCGAAAGCGUGGGGAGCAAACAGGAUUAGAUACCCUGGUAGUCC